UGACUAUUAUAUGGUGUUUGAUGCAAAUACUGCAGUUUAAUUUCCUCACUGCUCCCUUUCCCCUCUUUUUCUCUUUUGUCCCUUUUUUGCCCUCAUCUUGUAGAGAAGGAAGGGCACAGGGGCCUCUUUCUACACUAAGGAAAUCUCAGAGGAGUUAUCCCAGGUCCAUAGAGACUUCCUGAGUAGCAUUCAAGCUGCAGUUCUCUUCAGCUGGCAACUGUUCUACAGUUUGCAACCUCAGGUCAUUCCAAAGAACGAACCUCUUGAAAUAAACACAGAGGAAUGGGGCCUUUUAUUAUCUCCAGAUGGGAUUAUGCGGACUUGGAAGCUGUUGAAAUAAUUCUUCUGUGCCUGAAUCAAACUUUUGUUAUCUUCCAAAAGGAAAGAAAGAGAGGAGUGGUAAAUUGUGUUAACUGAAAGCCAACUCGGGUUAAAUUCUGCUGAUAGGUCCCCUUCCCCCACUAAAACCCAGGUUUUUAAAUUUGCUUUUUAUUUAUUUUUGCAUCCCUUUUUCCCUUUUACAAUAAGAUAUUAAGCUGGGUUGGAAUGCACACACAUACACACAAACACAAAAGGACAAAAUUGUAAAACCGUUGUUUUUGUGUUAUCCAAGAUUUAGAUGUUGUUUUUUUAAAACGGGGAUGAAAUCUGAAAGUGGAAAUACAUGUUUUUUAGGGUAUUACUAGAAAAGAAAGUAUGAUAAAGCGUGUCUGUAAUACUUUUAUUUUUACUCUGGUGGUAGUGGCGAGCUGAGAAGUUUCUACAUACAUGGAGUCCAGUAAACAUCUAUUGAACAAACACCAUCAAUAUGUACAAUUUUGGGCUAUAUAAUUUUAAAAUUGAUGGUGCCACCUAUUGGUGAUGACAUAAAGUGUAAAAUGAUCACUUACAUAGUAAGUUAUUUCAUGUUUUCCAAUCAUGUUACUUAUUCCCACAGAGAUUCUGUGAGGAGCUGGAAGGCAAGCUUGGUUCAUGCAGACAUGAGGCACUAAUGUUUUCAACUGGGUUGCUCUCCACUGGAUGCCUAUUAAAUGCUCAGCACUUUGGAGUAUACCAGAGAAGUAAAGACAUGGCCCCUGCCUUCAAGGAGCAUUUUAUCCAGUUGGGUGGGACGCUACUUCAGACUGCUUUCAUGUCAAGAUCUGCCUCAUCUUCCAAAGUGGGAGUUCCCAGCAUUAGGCUUGUGGGGGUGGAAGCUUAAUCCGCCUCCUUCCAAAAACUGAAGUGAGUCACUACCAACCUUGUCUCUCCACCCUUUACUGGGUCCAUACACAGCCCUGCCUUUUUUUAAGGAGGUGGAACCCAGCCUAAGGUCUCCAUUAAUGUGGAAUUGAGAAAGGGCAUCUGUUCUGGGUCAUUCUGACUUCCAGACUAGAAUUUAUCUCAGCUCUUAAGACAGAGCUAUCUUAAGAUAAGUUCUUAAGAGCUAACUUAAGAAAUCUUAAACAGUUUUACAGAAGUGGGUAAAAUCUCUGCAAGUCUUUGAAGAAUAUUAGCAAUGAAAAUGGUUGUUAUUUUUUCAAAAAAUAAUAACAUGAACUUGGAAUGGAUAGUUAUUUUGGCCAGAAGAUUAACAUGAAUUCUCUGACACCUGGGCAGAUUCCCCAUCUGAUCUGUGCUCCUUCCCAUUUGAACAUUGGAUACCUUUGAGAAACCUUCUUGGAGCAUGUAGAAAAGCCAGUACAUGGGCAUGGACAUACACAUACCCCACCCUUACAUUCUUCUUUUUGUUUC
rnacentral:lncRNA from 10 species